UGAUCCGGUCCGAAGUUGGUGGGUUACCCAAAUUGAACCCCUCCCAUCGACACUCACUUGACCGUCGC
rnacentral:sRNA from 1 species